rnacentral:rRNA from 1 species
UACGUAGGGUGCAAGCGUUAAUCGGAAUUACUUGGCGUAAAGCGUGCGCAGGCGGUUUUGUAAGACAGAUGUGAAAUCCCCGGGCUCAACCUGGGAACUGCAUUUGUGACUGCAAGGCUGGAGUGCGGCAGAGGGGGAUGGAAUUCCGCGUGUAGCAGUGAAAUGCGUAGAUAUGCGGAGGAACACCGAUGGCGAAGGCAGUCCCCUGGGCCUGCACUGACGCUCAUGCACGAAAGCGUGGGGAGCAAACAGG